rnacentral:rRNA from 1 species
UACGUAGGGUGCAAGCGUUGUCCGGAAUUAUUGGGCGUAAAGAGCUCGUAGGCUGUUUGUCGCGUCUGCUGUGAAAUCCCAGGGCUUAACCCUGGGCCUGCAGUGGGUACGGGCAAACUAGAGUGCGGUAGGGGAGAUCGGAAUUCCUGGUGUAGCGGUGAAAUGCGCAGAUAUCAGGAGGAACACCGGUGGCGAAGGCGGAUCUCUGGGCCGUAACUGACGCUGAAGCGCGAAAGCUAGGGGAGCAAACGGG